rnacentral:rRNA from 1 species
GACGAACGCUGGCGGCGUGCCUAAUACAUGCAAGUCGAGCGAAGUUUUUCUGGUGUUUGCACUAGAAAAACUUAGCGGCGAACGGGUGAGUAACACGUAAAGAACCUGCCUCACAGACUGGGACAACUAUUGGAAACGAUAGCUAAUACCGGAUAACAGCAUUAACUGCAUGGUUGAUGUUUAAAAGUUGGUUUUGCUAACACUAUGAGAUGGCUUUGCGGUGCAUUAGCUAGUUGGUGGGGUAAAGGCCUACCAAGGCGACGAUGCAUAGCCGACCUGAGAGGGUGAUCGGCCACACUGGGACUGAGACACGGCCCAGACUCCUACGGGAGGCAGCAGUAGGGAAUCUUCCGCAAUGGGCGAAAGCCUGACGGAGCAACGCCGCGUGAGUGAAGAAGGAUUUCGGUUC